CCCCGGAGAAGAGAGUUGGUGUUAAGAGUCAGGGAUCUUGGCUGUGUGUCUGCGGAUCUGUAGUGGCGGCGGCGGCGGGGAGGCAGCAGGCGCGGGAGCGGGCGCAGGAGCAGGCGGCGGCGGUGGCGGCGGCGGUUAGACAUGAACGCCGCCUCGGCGCCGGCGGUGCACGGAGAGCCCCUUCUCGCGCGCGGGCGGUUUGUGUGAUUUUGCUAAAAUGCAUCACCAACAGCGAAUGGCUGCCUUAGGGACGGACAAAGAGCUGAGUGAUUUACUGGAUUUCAGUGCGAUGUUUUCACCUCCUGUGAGCAGUGGGAAAAAUGGACCAACUUCUUUGGCAAGUGGACAUUUUACUGGCUCAAGCUUGUGGCUAUACACUAGGAAGCAGACGAAGAGAGAACCUGAAGAUACCUCCUGAUGCCCAAACCUAGGAAAGGGAAAAAUGCAGAAGAACUCAGACGACUCUUGGAAAUGAUUCUUGCCUCAAUUAAAAAGACCUCACCACUCACCUCCAUGUAAAGGACAGGUCGUGAAUUAUUCAAAUGAUUCAGAAAUCAACAUUUAAAAAAACGAACAUAAAUUCCUUUUCAUAAUUAAAGAGCGGUGUAAAAUGGCUCUUUUCUUAGGUCUAGAUUAUAUUGCUGUUAAAGGAAUUGCUGCCUAGUAUACAAUUUUUUGACGUUGUUUUCUACAACAUCAAUCUUAUUUGUUGUCCUUUUUUGUCAUGCCUGUUAAAUGUGUAUUUUUCUGUGUUGAUAUUGAAACUAAUGUACAAAGUGUGACAUCUCCAAAAACUG
rnacentral:sRNA from 1 species